rnacentral:rRNA from 1 species
AUUGAACUCUGGCGGCAGGCCUAACACAUGCAAGUCGAACGGUAACAGGAAGAAGCUUGCUUCUUUGCUGACGAGUGGCGGACGGGUGAGUAAUGUCUGGGAAACUGCCUGAUGGAGAGGGAUAACUACUGGAAACGGUAGCUAAUACCGCAUAACGUCGCAAGACCAAAGAGGGGGACCUUCGGGCCUCUUGCCAUCGGAUGUGCCCAGAUGGGAUUAGCUAGUAGGUGGGGUAACGGCUCACCUAGGCGACGAUCCCUAGCUGGUCUGAGAGGAUGACCAGCCACACUGGAACUGAGACACGGUCCAGACUCCUACGGGAGGCAGCAGUGGGGAAUAUUGCACAAUGGGCGCAAGCCUGAUGCAGCCAUGCCGCGUGUAUGAAGAAGGCCUUCGGGUUGUAAAGUACUUUCAGCGGGGAGGAAGGGAGUAAAGUUAAUACCUUUGCUCAUUGACGUUACCCGCAGAAGAAGCACCGGCUAACUCCGUG